UGAGGAAUAUUGGUCAAUGGUCGGAAGACUGAACCAGCCAUGCCGCGUGGAGGAAGAAGGCCCUACGGGUCGUAAACUUCUUUUGCCCGGGAGUAAUAAGGGGGGUGCGCCCCGCGAUGAGAGUACCGGGCGAAUAAGCAUCGGCUAACUCCGUGCCAGCAGCCGCGGUAAUACGGAGGAUGCGAGCGUUAUCCGGAUUUAUUGGGUUUAAAGGGUGCGUAGGCGGACGCGUAAGUCGGCGGUGAAAUGUCCCGGCUCAACCGGGGAGCUGCCGUUGAUACUGCGCGACUAGGGUGCGAGCGGCGCCGGCGGAAUGUGUGGUGUAGCGGUGAAAUGCAUAGAUACCACACAGAACACCGAUCGCGAAGGCAGCUGGCGAGGACGUUACUGACGCUGAGGCACGAAGGCGUGGGGAUCGAACAGG
rnacentral:rRNA from 2 species